rnacentral:rRNA from 1 species
GACGAACGCUGGCGGCGUGCCUAAUACAUGCAAGUUGAGCGCUGAAGGUUGGUACUUGUACCGACUGGAUGAGCAGCGAACGGGUGAGUAACGCGUGGGGAAUCUGCCUUUGAGCGGGGGACAACAUUUGGAAACGAAUGCUAAUACCGCAUAACAACUUUAAACACAAGUUUUAAGUUUGAAAGAUGCAAUUGCAUCACUCAAAGAUGAUCCCGCGUUGUAUUAGCUAGUUGGUGAGGUAAAGGCUCACCAAGGCGAUGAUACAUAGCCGACCUGAGAGGCGGAACAGCGACCGUAGGACCGAACCACUGCCCAAACCCCUACGGGAGGCAGCAGUAGGGAAUCUUGGGCAAUGGACGAAAGUGUGACCGAGCAAGGCCGCGUGAGUGAAGAAGGUUUCCGGAUCUUAAAACUCUGUUGGUAGAGAAGAACGUUGGUGAGAGUGGAAAGCUCAUCAAGUGACGGUAACUACCCAGAAAGGGACGGCUAACUACGUGCCAGCCGCCGCCGUAA